GAUGAACGCUGGCGGCGUGCUUAAUACAUGCAAGUCGAGCGAACGGACGCGGAGCUUGCUUCUCUGAUGUUAGCGGCGGACGGGUGUGUAACACGUGGAUAACCUACCUAUCAUUCUGGUAUAACUUCGGGAAUCCGGAUCUAAUCCCGGAUAAUCUUUUGAACCGCAUUGUUCAAUAGUGAAAGUCGGUCUUGCUGUCACUUAUAGCUGCAUCCGCGCUGCAUUAGCUAGUUGGUAAGGUAACGGCUUACCAAGGCAACGAUGCAUAGCCGACCUGAGAGGGUGAUCGGCCACACUGGAACUGAGACACGGUCCAGACGCCUACGGGAGGCAGCAGUAGGGAAUCUUCCGCAAUGGGCGAAAGCCUGACGGAGCAACGCCGCGUGAGUGAUGAAGGUCUUCGGAUCGUAAAACUCUGUUAUUAGGGAAGAACAUAUGUGUAAGUAACUGUGCACAUCUUGACGGUACCUAAUCAGAAAGCCACGGCUAACUACGUG
rnacentral:rRNA from 1 species